rnacentral:lncRNA from 1 species
AUGGUUAGCAUCAACUCCGGGACAGGACCCUUGCCUUUUCGCCGAAAUUGGAUCACUUUCGACACAUUACCGAGCCUGGAGCCGUUUUAUUGUCUACUUGAGAAUGAAGAGACACUGGAUGGCAAGAAUACAACACAUUGCAUGGCAAUAGUUGUAUACAGAAGAGGUGAUGAUGCUACAGUACGUAACCCCAUCAAACGAGUUCCAGAGAGAUCUCUCACUGCUCUGAACAGCUGUGAUUUGGAUAAUGAAGAAGUUCAGAGGUACAUUAAGCCACCUAGGCGACCUGAACCACCAGCAGUUCCACAGCAAGUCAUAAAAUCAGACAGCACAAAAUCACAAACAGCAGAGGGCCAAGACUUACUUUGGAAGGUGAGUCGAGUCAUGAAAGAAGAAAAACAGAGAAUCCCAGGAUGGUCUGCAUUCAAUGCUUUCAUAUCCACAUCAAGCACUCCAUUAACCACAGUAUAAUAUAUACCCUUCAUAAGAGCUUCACCGUCAGACCUAUCUACUAUCUACACAGCUCUUCUGAAACUCACACAGCUAGCUGAAGAACUUGGACAGAGGCAUAUUCUCGUAACUGCUGAUCUUGCCAUCUAUAGCAGGGAUUCCCAAAGUGUGGUGCGCGAGAUGAAAAAUGUAAUGGUGGUCUGGUGUAAAAAUAUUACACAGUGUCUGUGCGUUCAGACCGAAAGCGCACAAAGAGGAAAAUCCACCUUGUCCACUCCACCUAAGUCGCUUAGUCACCCUGUUUGUUCUUGCUUCUAAAUUUAAAGGGCCCGCACGCCACUCGCGUUAAACACCACCACGCAACUACUGCUGUCCAUCCAUUUACAGCCCAUCCAUUUACCGACAUCGUUGAUCACAGAAAAUUACUCGUUGAACAGUAACUUGAUGUAGCCGGGUGCGAAAAUGAGGCUGUAAACAUUUACGCCACCAGGUGACACUGUUUUAGUUUGGGAAACCUCCUGUGCGCGCUGUCUCCUGGGAAACGAUCAGGAAGAGAACCCGGAAAUGAGAUCAACAUCGUUUCACCGCGACGCACGCUGAAAUGUGAUUUCGGACAUUUUGGACUGUUUCUGUAAGGUAAAUGUUCUGUAAAAAGCAUGGAGUAGCAUGAAAUAUCAAUGGAUAGACUGUUAAAAUGAUUCAUGACCGUGUUUUGUGACUUGUUACGAUGUUUAUGUAUUUGUUUGGUAUGUGAUGAAUUUCCAGAUCUGACUCCCUGCUGGACGUAAUGGCGUAGAGCCCGUCGCCGCUUUUGUUGUGUAUUUGUGGACGGAUUCACAUGUUAGUACAGUAUUUUCACGGUAUUUUCACGCAUGUAUUGUAAUAUUUUUAUGACCUUUGAAUGUGAAAGGGUUUAUUGUGAAUUUGUGGCUAUUUGUGUUACAGCGAUG